rnacentral:rRNA from 1 species
GACGAACGCUGGCGGCGUGCUUAACACAUGCAAGUCGAACGGAAAGGCCCUGCUUUUGUGGGGUGCUCGAGUGGCGAACGGGUGAGUAACACGUGAGUAACCUGCCCUUGACUUUGGGAUAACUUCAGGAAACUGGGGCUAAUACCGGAUAGGAGCUCCUGCUGCAUGGUGGGGGUUGGAAAGUUUCGGCGGUUGGGGAUGGACUCGCGGCUUAUCAGCUUGUUGGUGGGGUAGUGGCUUACCAAGGCUUUGACGGGUAGCCGGCCUGAGAGGGUGACCGGCCACAUUGGGACUGAGAUACGGCCCAGACUCCUACGGGAGGCAGCAGUGGGGAAUAUUGCACAAUGGGCGGAAGCCUGAUGCAGCAACGCCGCGUGCGGGAUGACGGCCUUCGGGUUGUAAACCGCUUUCGCCUGUGACGAAGCGUGAGUGACGGUAAUGGGUAAAGAAGCACCGGCUAACUACGUGCCAGCAGCCGCGGUGAUACGUAGGGUGCGAGCGUUGUCCGGAUUUAUUGGGCGUAAAGGGCUCGUAGGUGGUUGAUCGCGUCGGAAGUGUAAUCUUGGGGCUUAACCCUGAGCGUGCUUUCGAUACGGGUUGACUUGAGGAAGGUAGGGGAGAAUGGAAUUCCUGGUGGAGCGGUGGAAUGCGCAGAUAUCAGGAGGAACACCAGUGGCGAAGGCGGUUCUCUGGGCCUUUCCUGGCGCUGAGGAGCGAAAGCGUGGGGAGCGAACAGGCUUAGAUACCCUGGUAGUCCACGCUGUAAACGGUGGGUACUAGGUGUGGGGUCCAUUCCACGGGUUCCGUGCCGUAGCUAACGCUUUAAGUACCCCGCCUGGGGAGUACGGCCGCAAGGCUAAAACUCAAAGGAAUUGACGGGGCCCCGCACGAGCGGCGGAGCAUGCGGAUUAAUUCGAUGCAACGCGUAGAACCUUACCUGGGUUUGACAUGGAUCGGGAGUGCUCAGAGAUGGGUGUGCCUCUUUUGGGGUCGGUUCACAGGUGGUGCAUGCCUGUCGUCAGCUCGUGUCGUGAGAUGUUGGGUUAAGUCCCGCAACGAGCGCAACCCUUGUUCACUGUUGCCAGCACGUUAUGGUGGGGACUCAGUGGAGACCGCCGGGGUCAACUCGGAGGAAGGUGGGGAUGACGUCAAGUCAUCAUGCCCCUUAUGUCCAGGGCUUCACGCAUGCUACAAUGGCUGGUACAGAGAGUGGCGAGCCUGUGAGGGUGAGCGAAUCUCGGAAAGCCAGUCUCAGUUCGGAUUGGGGUCUGCAACUCGACCUCAUGAAGUCGGAGUCGCUAGUAAUCGCAGAUCAGCAACGCUGCGGUGAAUAAGAUCCCGGGGCU